UUUUUUUUUUUCUUUUCUUUUCUUCACAUUUUUUUUAACCCAAAAAUAAAAUCUAUUUUUCUCAAAAUCUCAUCAUCACCAUCAUCAUAGUCAUGCAUGUACUGUUAAGUAUAACAAUGAGCUUUUGUUUUUAAUGCAUAUAUAAUAUUCUUUUAAAAAUACAAAAUGUUACAGAAAUAGCUCAAAAUUAGGGUUUAUCUUUUAGAAGUUGUCCACUUCUUAUUUUAGAAGUAAAAAAAUUCAAUCUAAACAUGCAUAAAUAUUUGAAACAUCUCUGACUUAGAACAAUCAAAGAUGCAAAAUAAUUAAUUUCUUUAGUCAUAGCAUAUUUUUAACUCACGUUUGUUAUUUGAUUAUAACUGUUAAAACAAACACCGAUGAAAUCUAGUGGUUAUAACACCUAACUCUACUUUGGAGAUGCUCUAACUUAACAUGGUCCGAAGGUAAUUAAAACACAUGAGGGAUGAAUGCAAUUGGAUCUGGUCAGUAGUAGUACACCAAACUAACCAGUGAUGCUGAGUCAAAGAAAGAAAGAAAGAAGGGACAACCGUCUGAUUAACUUAGACAACAGCAGGGCACUGGUGGCAUCCCCAAAGGCAAAUUUUUUUGCAAUCAAAACAGUUAAAAAUGGAGGGACAAAAGAGGACACAAUUGUGAGGCCGUGUCACCACGGACACGAUAAAGGAGAAGGAGAGUGUUAAAAGUCCGUUAGGUUGACGAAACACGAAGCCACGCUUUCCUCCCGUUCGAGGCGACCAUGUCUCUAAUUCCGUCACGCCGAAAGAUGGGUGACACGCGUUCUGUUGUUACUGGGUCCCCGAUCCCUUGUACCCAUGCUUUGUGUGCUAUUGCGAAACACUUUAGUGGUCCCCUUUUUGCUUGUGCUACCUUUUACGUACGACUCAUCCCAUGUACAUCAAAUUCUUG
rnacentral:lncRNA from 1 species